UACGUAGGGGGCUAGCGUUGUCCGGAUUUAUUGGGCGUAAAGAGCGUGUAGGCGGCCAGGUAGGUCUGCUGUGAAAACUCGAGGCUCAACCUCGAGACGUCGGCGGAAACCAUCUGGCUAGAGUCCGGAAGAGGAGAGUGGAAUUCCUGGUGUAGCGGUGAAAUGCGCAGAUAUCAGGAAGAACACCCGUGGCGAAGGCGGCUCUCUGGGACGGUACUGACGCUGAGGCACGAAGGCCAGGGGAGCAAACGGG
rnacentral:rRNA from 1 species